AUCUCUUUAAUAUAAAAAGUAUAUUUGGCUUCCAACCAGAAAGUCUAAACAUUUAGGAGAGAUA
rnacentral:tRNA from 1 species